UACGAAGGUCCCGAGCGUUGUUCGGAAUCACUGGGCGUAAAGGGAGCGUAGGCGGCGUGGUAAGUCAGAUGUGAAAUCCCGGGGCUCAACCCCGGAACUGCAUCCGAUACUGCCGUGCUAGAGUGAUGGAGAGGUAGCUGGAAUUCACGGUGUAGCAGUGAAAUGCGUGGAUAUCGUGAGGAACACUCGUGGCGAAAGCGAGCUACUGGACAUUGACUGACGCUGAGGCUCGAAGGCCAGGGGAGCGAAAGGG
rnacentral:rRNA from 1 species